GAAAUGCGAUAAUUAAUGUGAAUUGCAGAAUUCAGUGAAUCAUCGAGUCUUUAAACGCACAUUGCGCCCCCUGGUAUUCCGGGGGGCAUGCCUGUCCGAGCGUCAUUGCUGCCCUCAAGCACGGCUUGUGUGUUGGGCUUCCGUCCCUGGCAACGGGGACGGGCCCAAAAGGCAGUGGCGGCACCAUGUCUGGUCCUCGAGCGUAUGGGGCUUUGUCACCCGCUCCCGUAGGUCCAGCUGGCAGCUAGCCUCGCAACCAAUCUUUUUAACCAGGUUGACCUCGGAUCAGGUAGGGAUACCCGCUGAACUUAAGC
rnacentral:misc_RNA from 1 species